UAAAACCAGCACCUCAAGUGGUCAGGAGGGUUAUUGGGCCUAAAGCAUCCGUAGCCUGUUUUGUAAGUCUUCGGUUAAAUCCACAUGCUUAACAUGUGGGCUGCCGGAGAUACUGCAAAACUAGGGAGUGGGAGAGGUAGACGGUACUUGGUAGGAAGGGGUAAAAUCCUUUGAUCUAUUGAUGACCACCUGUGGCGAAGGCGGUCUACCAGAACACGUUCGACGGUGAGGGAUGAAAGCUGGGGGAGCAAACCGGAUUAGAUACCCGGGUAGUCCCAGCUGUAAACGAUGCAGACUCGGUGAUGCAUUGGUUUAUUGCCAGUGCAGUGCCGCAGGGAAGCCGUUAAGUCUGCCGCCUGGGAAGUACGUACGCAAGUAUG
rnacentral:rRNA from 2 species